rnacentral:lncRNA from 1 species
UACUCACUCUUCCACCCCUCCUUUCAAACUCCCUGAGUGCAGGAAGGGAGUGCCUAGUAAUAAUGCUAAUGCAAAUAGUUUGCCUUUACUGAAAAUUUGCUAUUCGUUUAUUCAAGAAGUAUUUAGUGAGGGUGUAUUAUGUGCUAGGUAUUUUUCUUUCUUUUUUUUUUUUUAAAUUUUUUUUUUUUUUUUGAGACAGAGUCUCGCUCUGUUGCCCAGGCUGGAGUGCAGUGGCACGGUCUCAGCUCACUGCAAGCUCUGCCUCCAUGGGUCAUGCCAUUCUCCUGCCUCA